rnacentral:rRNA from 1 species
UACUCGAGUGGCGAACGGGUGAGUAACACGUGGGUGAUCUGCCCCGCACUUCGGGAUAAGCUUGGGAAACUGGGGCUAAUACCGGAUAGGAGCUCCUGCUGCAUGGUGGGGGUUGGAAAGUUUCGGCGGUUGGGGAUGGACUCGCGGCUUAUCAGCUUGUUGGUGGGGUAGUGGCUUACCAAGGCUUUGACGGGUAGCCGGCCUGAGAGGGUGACCGGCCACAUUGGGACUGAGAUACGGCCCAG